GUAGCGGUGAAAUGCGUAGAGAUCUGGAGGAAUACCGGUGGCGAAGGCGGCCCCCUGGACAAAGACUGACGCUCAGGUGCGAAAGCGUGGGGAGCAAACAGGAUUAGAUACCCUGGUAGUCCACGCCGUAAACGAUGUCGACUUGGAGGUUGUGCCCUUGAGGCGUGGCUUCCGGAGCUAACGCGUUAAGUCGACCGCCUGGGGAGUACGGCCGCAAGGUUAAAACUCAAAUGAAUUGACGGGGGCCCGCACAAGCGGUGGAGCAUGUGGUUUAAUUCGAUGCAACGCGAAGAACCUUACCUACUCUUGACAUCCA
rnacentral:rRNA from 1 species